AGUGAACGCUGGCGGCAGGCCUAAUACAUGCAAGUCGAACGGCAGCACAGCAGAGCUUGCUCUGUGGGUGGCGAGUGGCGGACGGGUGAGGAAUACGUGGGAAUCUGCCCAGUCGUGGGGGAUAACGUAGGGAAACUUACGCUAAUACCGCAUGCGCCCUUUGGGGGAAAGCCGGCGAUCUUCGGACCUGGCGUGAUUGGAUGAGCCCACGUCGGAUUAGCUAGUUGGAGGGGUAAAGGCCCACCAAGGCGACGAUCCGUAGCUGGUCUGAGAGGAUGAUCAGCCACACUGGAACUGAGACACGGUCCAGACUCCUACGGGAGGCAGCAGUAGGGAAUAUUGGACAAUGGGCGCAAGCCUGAUCCGGCCAUGCCGCGUGAGUGAAGAAGGCCCUCGGGUUGUAAAGCUCUUUUGUUGGGGAAGAAAAGCCUUGGGUAAAUACCCUGAGGUUCUGACGGUACCCAAAGAAUAAGCACCGGCUAACUUCGUGCCAGCAGCCGCCGCAGUAA
rnacentral:rRNA from 1 species